rnacentral:rRNA from 1 species
GAUGAACGCUGGCGGCGUGCCUAAUACAUGCAAGUCGAGCGAAGCGGGGACGGGUGAGUAACACGUGGAUAACCUCCUAUAAGACUGGGAUAACUUCGGGAAACCGGAGCUAAACCGGAUACUUAUAGAUGGAUCCGCGCUGCAUUAGCUAGUUGGUAAGGUAACGGCUUACCAAGGCAACGAUGCAUAGCCGACCUGAGAGGCGACUCGCCAACACUGGACGGAAGCCACGGUCCAGAAUCAGAGGGAGGGAGCCAGAGGGGAGUCUACAGCAAUGGGUAAACGCCUGACGGGGCAAGGCAGCGUACGUCCUGAGGUCCUUCGCAUGGUAAAACUUUGUUAUUAGGGAAUCGGUACCGAAUCAGAAAGCUACGGCUAACUACGUGCCAGCAGCCGCGGUAAUAC